rnacentral:lncRNA from 1 species
UUAGUGCUUUCUUAAACCAUAUAUCUAAUGUGCUCUUCAGGUCCUAACCUCAGGUCCAUGGUUCUCAGGAGGCAACCUGUUUCCAGUAAAUCUGCUGGCUGAGAAGCUUCAACUCAGUCCACAACUCACAACAGAGAUCUCAGCAGUAACCACCAAGAGGAUGAUUUGAAAUAGUCACUGUCCCAUAAAGAAUGUAUCAAAUAGAAGAUGGUUGCUGAUUCAUCAGGAAAAAUUGUACCAUCAGAAAAUCAGGCUACCACUCCACAUUGAUAAAGUAUUGCAAAAAAACGAAGACAAUUAAAUGUCAAACUGACUCAAAAGGUUGUAACCUUUCUUCCAGCAUCUGAUGGAAAUAUAUUGUUUCAUUGUCCUGCCUUCAAGAUCAAGACACCCACCUUCUGCUCCAUGAUUCAACACUUACAGGUAACCCCACACAUACGGACUCACAGCUUCAGAUGCAUUAAUGCAGACAGACCAACCGAUGCCAACCCCCACAGCAUCGGCUCCAAAAGUCUGUCACUGGGCCAUCCUAGGGAUUACCACAGGGAUCCUGCAAAGUCUAGUACAGUAGGAAGACUUCCAGGCCACAUACAGAAUAAUUAGAAGGUCUGCAGGAUCCUGUCUUUAGUGAUUGCAAUACAUUUUGUUGGAGAUUAACAUUCAGUGUCCAAAACAUAGUCAGUUGCAGUUCUCUUUGGGUAGGUGCUGGUGUGUAUUAAAAAAAAUAAAAAAUAAUAAAAAAAAAUGCCUCUUUUUUGC